CAAUCCAGGAAAACCUUCUCAAGUUUUCAAUGUCACUUACCAUGUCAUUCCAGAGAGAAAACCAAACCCUCCGUACAACAUAUCUAUCUAUUGUAAGGUUUAUAGUGGAACUGCAGUAGUAAACUGGUCACCAGGUUUUGAUGGAGGAACAGAACAGACAUUUAUUGUGUCAUACAGAACCAGUGAUGACGAUGAAAAAUUAACUGAAAACUUCAGACAACCGAAUGCUACAAUUACUGGCUUGAAAGAUGACACUCUUUACUACUUCAAAGUCAUUGCAAACAACUCAAAUGGUAAAACUCUUUCAGAAGAAGAGGAGUCUUGUAAAACACAAGUGAAAAUUAUUUUGGAAUCCAACAACAGUCUUCCUAUAAUUGCUGGGGGUGCUGCUGGAGGAGUGGUCUUUGCUGGGUUAGUUGUGAUUGGGAUACUAUUUCUUCUUCGCAGAAUUAAUUCAAUAGGUA